rnacentral:tRNA from 1 species
GGGAUUGUAGCUCAGUAGGUAGAGCACUAGUCUGAAGAAUUAGGUCGCAUAGGUUCGAUUCCUAUCAAUCCCA